rnacentral:rRNA from 1 species
GUCGAGAAUCUUUCACAAUGGGGGCAACCCUGAUGGAGCGACGCCGCGUGGAGGAUAAGGUCUUCGGAUUGUAAACUCCUGUCAUGCGUGAACAAGGUUGCUUGGUUAAUACCUGGGCAAAUUGAUGGUAACGCAAGAGGAAGAGACGGCUAACUCUGUGCCAGCAGCCGCGGUAAUACAGAGGUCUCAAGCGUUGUUCGGAAUCACUGGGCGUAAAGGGUGCGUAGGUGGCGUGGUAAGUCAGAUGUGAAAGCCCGGGGCUCAACCGCGGAAAUGCAUCCGAUACUGCCAUGCUAGAGUACUGGAGAGGUGACUAGAAUUCUCGGUGUAGCAGUGAAAUGCGUAGAUAUCGAGAGGAAUACCAAAGGCGUAGGCAGGUCACUGGACAGUUACUGACACUGAGGCACGAAGGCCAGGGGAGCGAACGGGAUUAGAUACCCGGUAGUCC